rnacentral:rRNA from 1 species
GUCCAGACUCCUACGGGAGGCAGCAGUGGGGAAUAUUGCACAAUGGGGGAAACCCUGAUGCAGCGACGCCGCGUGAGUGAGGAAGUAUUUCGGUAUGUAAAGCUCUAUCAGCAGGGAAGAAAAUGACGGUACCUGACUAAGAAGCUCCGGCUAAAUACGUGCCAGCAGCCGCGGUAAUACGUAUGGAGCAAGCGUUAUCCGGAUUUACUGGGUGUAAAGGGAGCGCAGGCGGCGCGCCAAGUCUGGUGUGAAACCCCGGGGCUCAACCCCGGGACUGCAUUGGAAACUGGCGGGCUGGAGUGUCGGAGGGGCAGGCGGAAUUCCUGGUGUAGCGGUGAAAUGCGUAGAUAUCAGGAGGAACACCGGUGGCGAAGGCGGCCUGCUGGACGACAACUGACGCUGAGGCUCGAAAGCGUGGGGAGCAAACAGGAUUAGAUACCCUCGUAU